rnacentral:RNase_P_RNA from 1 species
GGAGUCGACGGGAUGGCCGCUGGUCGUGCAAAUGACGAGAGGAAAGUCCGGGCACCGCAGGACAGGGUGGUCGGUAACACCGACCGGCCGUGAGGUCAGGGAAAGUGCAACAGAAAGUACACCGCCGAUGGCCGUCCCGAGUUCGCUUGGAACGGAACAGGCAAGGGUGAAAUGGUGCGGUAAGAGCGCACCGGCAGCUGAGGUGACUCGGCUGGCCCGGUAAACCCCACCCGGUGCAAGGCCAAACAGAGGGCAAGCGUGGCUUCGGCCCCGCUGCGGUCCGGUCCGGCCCGUUAUCGACUCUCGGGUAGGCUGCAUGAUGUGUCGAGCAAUCGGCACACUAGAUAAAUGGUCAUCGCGUGCCGCGAGAUUUGCGGUACGGACAGAACCCGGCUUAUGAGUCGACUCCGAGC